rnacentral:rRNA from 1 species
GUGGGGAAUAUUGGACAAUGGGCGAAAGCCUGAUCCAGCCAUGCCGCGUGAGUGAUGAAGGCCCUAGGGUUGUAAAGCUCUUUCACCGGGGAAGAUAAUGACGGUACCCGGAGAAGAAGCCCCGGCUAACUUCGUGCCAGCAGCCGCGGUAAUACGAAGGGGGCUAGCGUUGUUCGGAAUUACUGGGCGUAAAGCGCACGUAGGCGGAUCAGUCAGUUAGGGGUGAAAUCCCAGGGCUCAACCCUGGAACUGCCUUUAAUACUGCUGAUCUAGAGUUCGAGAGAGGUGAGUGGAAUUCCGAGUGUAGAGGCGAAAUUCGUAGAUAUUCGGAGGAACACCAGUGGCGAAGGCGGCUCACUGGCUCGAUACUGACGCUGAGGUGCGAAAGCGUGGGGAGCAAACAGGAUUAGAAACCCGUGUAGUCC